rnacentral:rRNA from 1 species
GCUUACGGCCAUAUCACGUUGAAAGCACCGGUUCCCGUCCGAUCACCGAAGUUAAGCAACGUCGAGCCUAGUUAGUACUUAGAUGGGUGACCGCUUGAGAAACCUAAGUGCUGUAAGCG